UCAAACCCAAUCCCGUACGUACGCAGUCGCAGCGACCUAAAAUUCCCCUCCACAACGGCGGCGACGGCGCCGGGCCGGACCCCUCAACCAGCGAGUACGCACACCCGAGGUGAUGUUCCAUCUCUCCGAUGGCUUGUGCCCGCGGUGCCGCCGGUGGCCCAGUUUGAAGCCGACCAGAUCGGAGCUCGUGGACUGCUAAGAUCCGCGCCGCAGUGUGCUCGUCACGGCCUCCCAUCUCAGGCUCCGGCAGCGGCUGAUUCGUCACCGCCUCUACAGCAUCAGCCCGCGUCCUCCUCGACCUCGUCGGCUGCAAGUCGUUGGUGAGCUCCUCGGCUCCUUCCGGACUGGCCCAUGUGACGUGGUGCGAAGCUACAAGGUGUCACCAUGGUGGUUAAUUUUUCUAGUAAAUACUCCACAAGUUAAUACUCCAUCUCAAUUUUUUUGGUGGUUAAUCAUUCACCUGCUAUGGAGUAGAUGUUAACUUGUAGUAUUAGCUAGUACUUUUGUGCUUCAUCUCAAUUUUAUUAGCUAGUAGAGUGUAUGAUGCAUAUCUAUAGUUUUAUUUUCUUGUACUUGUUCAUGUCAAAUCAGCUCGUGUGUGAAUGUUGCACUUUUGCAACUUCGAUUUGAUGAUGUAUUGCUACUGUUCUUGGUGGUUUGGCAGUCUAAUUUGGACAUUCUGUUUAACUGUUAAGUACUCUGGAGAACCAAGUUAGUCGGUUGAGGACGGGUAGAUAAUCCUUAAUUUGAAAUUAGGACAUUGCGCUGAAAAUAUUAAUAUCUACGGUUGUUCCGUUCGUCACAAGACGCAUCCAUUCGGUGAAAAGUUGAUGGACAGUUAGCUCUUUUUAGUUGUGAAGAUUACAAUUACCAAUUCCUAUAAUAAAUGUAUUGUAUUAUAAUUUAGCAGUUCUAGACACACCCUUCUGAGUUCUGACCAUUAGUUCAAGACAUGGAUGGAGCCAUUAGCAGACUCGAUCCAUGAGCAUACAUUAUACUAUAUGUUUGGUGAAAAGAAGAGAAAAAACAAAUUAACCAAUGUAACAUUUGGGCAAGUAGAAUCUGACCUGAAUAGUAAGGGGCAGCAAAUUGUACAACCUGAAAUACCUAUCUGAGUGGCACAUAUAGCAAGCCUAGAUUUCUUUUUCUUCUCCUUAUUCUACUGUAUGCUAGGAUGUCAAUGGGUACUAGACUACUAGUACAUCCGUAGUACUACUAGUGCUACUGUAAUAUAUAUAAGGUGGGUAGGAGAGAAAUUACCCCGGGAGAGUAAGAAUAGAAUGCCAAAGAAUUAUUGCUAGUAGACUCCGACAACAAACUUAGGAUGCACUAAUGAAAUACGAUUUGUUCUUGUUGAGUUCUUUUCUGGUCAAAUAGAGUUUUUGUUUGGAGAGUUAUUGUAUACCGGCGCACACAAUAAUCCUGAUUCCUGAAAACCCAACUGAGGUAGAAAUCAUCAGUUGUAUGUUGUACAUUAAUAAACCUUGUUAACAGAAAAAUCUUGAACCUGUAUUUCACAUCUUCCUGCGGCUUUGUGACCUUAUUAUGAGUUACGAGUCACUAGAAAAGCAAAGGUUCUUGCUUGUUAUUUUGAAAGAUAAAUGAUCUCAGGCUCCAUGGUGACAAUUGAAUUCCUGUUGUUUUGAAAGAUAGCAUGUGCAGCAGCACUAUCAGGUGAGAACAUCGGUCCAAGAAAGUAAGAAUAUGUUUGAUGUGCCUAACAUUAUGUUGAUCCCAUGUUCGUGAAAAUUCUUUGCAGCCAUGGAAUCAGUCAACAGUGCUCAACGAUUAAUUCCGCAAUGCUUCUAUAGUGAUGAUGUUAUGACUUUGAUAAUGGCAAGGCUUAUAAAGGAUGGAUUUCUAAUAGGAUUCUACUUUCGCAUGUGAGCUCAAGCUUAUAUGUAAAAAUAAUUGUAUUGCCUAAUUCCGCCGGUUGUUUGUGUCUGACUAUAUGAAUAAAAUGCACUGGAGUGCUUUUCCUGUACAGGAUAAAUAAUGUUUAUAUAAUUUGUUACAUUAUUGGUAAGUUAGGAUGAUCCACAAAGUAGUUGGCUUGUCUGCCAGUUUUAGCAUAAAAAACAUUUAGGUAUGUGCAGCACACAGGUGUAAGCAUGAAUGUAUGACACAUACAUGGACUUGUGCUAACUCAAUCGUAUUUGUUAGUUUGAUGUCUCCCAGGACAAGAAGCUCGAGCAAGAAGCACUACGGCUGGAGGCAACUGUUCUGUACCAUCAAAGUAGCAACGUUGAUGCAGUUUUCGCUAGCAAUGGUUGUUGAUCCUGUCAUGUUAUUUAUAACUUUAUGUAUAUCUUCUUGUGUUGUGCCUGGGAUGCUCUAGUGUGACAUGUACUCAACAAUUGUUCCAGGGAUAGUCCAGUUUGAUAUGUAGAAUUCCUUGUGCCUGAGAUGGUUCAACUUACACGUACUCACUCAUUAGUGCCUGUGAUGGUCCAGUUGGCCAUGUAGUUGAAGAGGCCAAGAGGGUGUUUUGAUUUUUUUUCAUGUACUUAAAUAUCUUUGACAGAUGUUUACAUACUCUUGAUUGAU